rfam:Chlorocebus sabaeus isolate 1994-021 chromosome 16, whole genome shotgun sequence.
GCCAGGUGUGGUGGCGUGCACCUGUAGUCCCAGCUACUCAGGAGGCUGAGGCAGGAGAAUUGCUUGAACCCGGGAGGCGGAGGUUGCAGUGAGCUGAGAUCACACCACUGCAUUCCAGCUAGGCGAAGGAGCAAGACUCCAUCUCAAAAAAAAAAAAAAAAAAAAAAAAAAAAAGAAAAGGCUGUUUAGAUUUUUUUUUUUUGAGAAGGAGUUUCGCUUUUGUCACCCUGGCUGGAGUGCAGUGGCACCAUCUUGGCUCACUGCAACCUCUGCCUCCCGGGUUCAAGCAAUUCUCCUGCCUCAG